rnacentral:rRNA from 1 species
GACGAACGCUGGCGGCGUGCUUAACACAUGCAAGUCGAACGGACAGGCCCUGCUUUUGUUGGUUGCUCGAGUGGCGAACGGGUGAGUAACACGUGAGUAACCUCCCCCUGACUUUGUGAUAACUUCAGGAGACUGGGGCUCAUACCGGAUAUGAGCUCCUGCUGCAUGGUGGGGGAUGGAAAGAUACGGCGGUUGGGGAUGGUCUCGCGGCUUCUCCGCUUGUUGGUGGGGUAGUUGCUUACAAAGGCUAAGAAGGAUAGCCGGCAUGAGAGGGGGGACGGCGACAAUGGGACUAAGAUAGGGCCCAGUAGCGUACGGGAGGCAGCGGGGGAGAGUAUUGCGGAGUGGCGGGAAGCGUGAUGCAGCGAUGUCGGGUGCGUGAUGACGGCCUUCGGGGUGUAAACCGAUUUGGACGGUGACGAAGAGGGCUUGACGGUAAUGGGUCAAGAAGCACCGGCUAACUACGUG